AACGAACGCUGGCGGCAGGCCUAACACAUGCGAGUCGAGCGAGGACUUCGGUUCUAGCGGCGGACGGGUGAGUAACGCGUGGGAAUGUGCCCUUCUCUACGGAAUAGCCCUGGGAAACUGGGAGUAAUACCGUAUACGCCCUAUUGGGGAAAGAUUUAUCGGAGAAGGAUCAGCCCGCGUUGGAUUAGGUAGUUGGUGGGGUAAUGGCCUACCAAGCCGACGAUCCAUAGCUGGUUUGAGAGGAUGAUCAGCCACACUGGGACUGAGACACGGCCCAGACUCCUACGGGAGGCAGCAGUGGGGAAUCUUAGACAAUGGGGGCAACCCUGAUCUACCCAUGCCGCGUGAGUGAUGAAGGCCUUAGGGUUGUAAAGCUCUUUCAGCUGGGAAGAUAAUGACGGUACCAGCAGAAGAAGCCCCGGCUAACUCCGUG
rnacentral:rRNA from 1 species